AACGAACGCUGGCGGCAUGCCUAACACAUGCAAGUCGAACGAUGCCUCCGGGCAUAGUGGCGCACGGGUGCGUAACGCGUGGGAAUCUGCCCUUGGGUUCGGAAUAACUCGCCGAAAGGCGAGCUAAUACCGGAUGAUGACGUAAGUCCAAAGAUUUAUCGCCCAAGGAUGAGCCCGCGUAGGAUUAGCUAGUUGGUGGGGUAAAGGCCCACCAAGGCGACGAUCCUUAGCUGGUCUGAGAGGAUGAUCAGCCACACUGGGACUGAGACACGGCCCAGACUCCUACGGGAGGCAGCAGUGGGGAAUAUUGGACAAUGGGCGAAAGCCUGAUCAAGCAAUGCCGCGUGAGUGAUGAAGGCCUUAGGGUUGUAAAGCUCUUUUACCCGGGAUGAUAAUGACAGUACCGGGAGAAUAAGCUCCGGCUAACUCCGUG
rnacentral:rRNA from 1 species